UGCUUUCUGCUGCCAUCAAAAUUUAAUAUUUUCUGUCGAAUUGGCCUAAAAACAACAACAACUACUACCCAGUAUAGUCCCACGAAGUGGGGUCUGGGGAUGGUAAUAUGUAGACAGACCUUACCCCUACCCGAAAGGGCAGAGAGUCUGUUUCCAAUCGACUAAAAACCAGAGGUCAAAAUAAUCAAAUUACCAAAUUCCUCAUGCCUC
rnacentral:lncRNA from 1 species